rnacentral:rRNA from 1 species
GUCCCACGUUCGGAUUGCAGGCUGCAACCCGCCUGCAUGAAGCCGGAAUCGCUAGUAAUCGCGGAUCAGAAUGCCGCGGUGAAUACGUUCCCGGGUCUUGUACACACCGCCCGUCACACCAUGGGAGUCGAUAACGCCCGAAGUCAGUGACCCAACCGAAAGGAGGGAGCUGCCGAAGGCGGGAUGGAUAACUGGGGUGAAGUCGUAACAAGGUACC